rnacentral:rRNA from 1 species
CGGAGGGAGCUAGCGUUGUUCGGAAUUACUGGGCGUAAAGCGCGCGUAGGCGGUUACUCAAGUCAGAGGUGAAAGCCCGGGGCGUCAACCCCGGAACCUGCCUUUGAAACUAGGUGACUAGAAUCUUGGAGAGGUCAGUGGAAUUCCGAGUGUAGAGGUGAAAUUACGUAGAUAUUCGGAAGAACACCAGUGGCGAAGGCGACUGACUGGACAAGUAUUGACGCUGAGGUGCGAAAGCGUGGGGAGCAAACAGGAUU